rnacentral:rRNA from 1 species
UGUAUUUAUUAGAUAAAAAACCAAUGCCCUUCGGGGCUUUUUGGUGAUUCAUGAUAACUUUACGGAUCGCAUAGCCUUGCGCUGGCGACGGUUCAUUCAAAUUUCUGCCCUAUCAACUUUCGAUGGUAAGGUAUUGGCUUACCAUGGUUUCAACGGGUAACGGGGAAUUAGGGUUCGAUUCCGGAGAGGGAGCCUGAGAAACGGCUACCACAUCCAAGGAAGGCAGCAGGCGCGCAAAUUACCCAAUCCCGACACGGGGAGGUAGUGACAAUAAAUACUGAUACAGGGCUCUUUUGGGUCUUGUAAUUGGAAUGAGUACAAUUUAAACCUCUUAACGAGGAACAAAUUGGAGGGCAAGUCUGGUGCCAGCAGCCGCGGUAAUUCCAGCUCCAAUAGCGUAUAUUAAAGUUGUUGCAGUUAAAAAGCUCGUAGUUGAAAACUUGGGCCUGGCUGGCGGGUCCGCCUCACCGCGUGCACUCGUCCGGCCGGGCC